GACGAACGCUGGCGGCGUGCUUAACACAUGCAAGUCGAACGGAAAGGCCCUGCUUUUGUGGGGUGCUCGAGUGGCGAACGGGUGAGUAACACGUGAGUAACCUGCCCCUGACUUUGGGAUAACUUCAGGAAACUGGGGCUAAUACCGGAUAGGAUCUCCUGCUGCACGGUGGGGGUUGGAAAGUUUCGGCGGUUUGGGAUGGACUCGCGGCUUAUCAGCUUGUUUGUGGGGUAGUGGCUUACCAAGGCUUUGACGGGUAGCCGGCCUGAGAGGGUGGCCGGGGACAUUGGGCCUAAGGGACGGCUCAGUCGCCUACGGGACGCAACGGGGGUGAAUAUUACGCAAUGAGGGGGAGUGCGUUGCGGCAACCUCCCGUUCGGGAUGACGGCCUUCGGGUUAAAAACCGCUUUCGCCUGUGACGAAGCGUGAGUGACGGUAAUGGGUAAAGAAGCACCGGCUAACUACGUG
rnacentral:rRNA from 1 species